rnacentral:lncRNA from 1 species
AGGAAGGGAUGGUGUACUCGGCAGAUGCAGACGUGCAUGGGAGGCCUCGCCAGCCACAAGGAAGUGACUCCAUUUUGACAAAGUCUUGGGCAAUAUGACGUUGGACACAGAAACCCAGGAGACCUGAGUCUAUACUGAGACCUGAAGUCAUGUGCCUAUGAGGAACCCUGGACGGUCAUCUCCUGCUGCCCUCUGCUGGUCAUGGGUGAUUCCUGCAUCUUGAGAGGAGGGACUUUUGUAUCAUGAGGUCGACAAUGGUAACCUCUGUUGGAAACAGGAUUUGCCUUCUACCUGUUCUCCAGGAUACAAUGCUUUGCUGUUCGCUCCUCUCCUGUCAGACUUAAAGGCCUAUCGAAUCCUCAGAUGAAGUGUUUCCGAGGACAAAGUGGGCCUGAAGUGGGGGAAGCUAAUCCCAUUUCCAGAGCCUGCUUCUCAAUGAGCCCCCCAAAAUAUGUAUGAAUUUACUAAUAUAACGCCACCCCCUACUAAGUGG